GCCAGGUUUGGUGGCACAAACCUGUAGUCCCAGCUACUUAGGAGGCUGAGGCAGGAGGAUUGCUUGAGCCCAGGAGUUCAAGGCUGCAGUGAGCUAUGAUAAUGCCAACUGCACUCUAGCCUGUGUGACACAGCAAAAGCCUGUCUCUA
rnacentral:sRNA from 1 species